AUGCAUUCAUAUCCUUCUUUCAGUAACUGACAGGAAACAAUGAACAAAAGAACAGCUCUAACAAUUCUAUGCUGUGCCAUGCUCUGGGAGGCUUUUGGAGCGGGUCAAAAUGAGAUUCUAGUGAAACCAGGGGACACGGUCACCCUUGGCUGUGACAUCACCCUGGAGUACGAGAUCAUGUGGUUUGUUCUUCGUCCUGAUGCCACUCUUUCAGUGGCCAUCACUAUGAAGACGAAUAUACCUUUGAGCCACAACAAAAAGUUUGAUGUCUGUUUCGAGUCAGUGUAUGACACAGCCCUGUUCAGAAGCAAUCUGAGCAUACUGAACGUCUCAGAGAGCGACGUGGGUCUGUACUACUGUGCUGAGCAGAGGGCUAACAUAUUUGAGAUCGGAAGUGGGACGAAGCUGUCCCUUAUCAGUGGUGAUCAGCUCUCUACUACUGUUGUUGGGAUGAAGUUGUCAUGGUUUAUCACCUUGAUCAUAGCCCCCAUGUUCUCUGUGCUGGGGUCUGCUCUCUGCGUCUUCUGUUGA